rnacentral:lncRNA from 1 species
CUGAAAGAAAACAAAUGCUGUUGAAUUCAGAUCUGAUAAAAACACUCCCUCAUCUCUCUAUGUGCUCCGGUCUGGCCUCCCCCACUCUUCUCUCCUCUCUUCUUCUCUCUCUUCUCCUCUGCCUCUCCUCUCUCCCCUCUCCUAUCCUCUCUCCUAUCUCAUAUCCUCUUCUCUCUCCCCUCUCCUCUCCUCUCUCCUCUCUCAUAUCCUCUGCUCUCUCUUCUCACCCCUCUCCUCUCUCACGGUGCAUGUACACUAGAUAGCGGUAAACUGCCGCGUGCCGCUAAGGCCGCCCAUUGUGACUCGCUUGUGGGCGUGCUGGCAGCAUAUGGCAGCAUAUAGCAGCAUGUUCGACAUGGCAGCAUAUAGCAGCAUGUUCGAAGUUUGUAUGAAGGUCUGGUUAUUAAAUGGGUACGUAACUCAAUAGUAAUAUCCUCUAAAACGCUCUGGUGACAAACAAACUUUGCUGCCCUGUUUCCAGUUGUCCACAUGGCUGGGAGAACCUAUUCAAAUUAAGAGGGCUAUGAAAGCCUGUCUACAUAGGAAGAGGUCCCAAUGAAGAGCAGUGGUUCUCAGUCCUGGUCCUGGGGACUCAAAGGGGUGCACAUUUUUGUUUUUGCUUUAGCACUGCACAUCUGAUUCAAAGGAUCAACUCAUCAUCAAGCUUCGUGUGGUAUUUAUGUAUUAAUUUGUGACGCUAUCCUUGAUCUGUUCCUGAUAUUGUCACAUGCUACACAUACAGUAGAAGUCAGAAGUUUACAUACACCUUAGCCAAAUACAUUUAAACUCAGUUUUUCACAAUUCCUGGCAUUUAAUCCUAGUAAAAAAUCCCUGUUUUAGGUCAGUUAGGAUCACCACUUUAUUUUAAGAAUGUGAAAUGUCAGAAUAAUAUAGAGAAUUAUUUAUUUCAGCUUUUAUUUCUUUCAUCACAUUCCCAGUGGGUCAGAAGUUUACAUACACUUAAUUAGAAUUUGGUAACAUUGCCUUUAAAUUGUUUAACUUGGGUCAAAUGUUUCGGGUAGCCUUCCAUAAGCUUCCCACAAUAAGUUGUGUGAAUUUUGGCCCAUUCCUCCUGACAGAGCCGGUGUAAAUGAGUCAGGUUUGUAGGCCUCUGUGCUCGCACACGCUUUUUCAGUUCUGCUCACAAAUUUUCUAUAGGAUUGAGGUCGGGGCUUUGUGAUGGCCACUCCAAUACCUCGACUUUGUUGUCCUUAAGCCAUUUUUCCAAAACUUUUAAAGUAUGCUUGGGGUCAUUGUCCAUUUGGAAGACUCAUUUGCAACCAAGCUUUAACUUCCUGACUGAUGUCUUGAGUUGUUGCUUCAAUAUAUCCACAUAAUUUUCCUUCCUCAUGAGGCCAUCUAUUUUGUGAAGUGCACCAGUCCCUCCUGCAGCAAAGCACCCCCACAACAUGAUGCUGCCACCCCCGUGCUUCACGGUUGGGAUGGUGUUCUUCGGCUUGCAAGCAUCCCCCUUUUUCCUCCAAACAUAACGAUGGUCAUUAUGGCCAAACAGUUCUAUUUUUGUUUCAUCAGACCAGAGAACAUUUCUCCAAAAAGUAAGAUCUUUGUCCCCAUGUGCAGUUGCAAACUGAAUAUGGCUUUUUUUUUAUUGCGGUUUUGGAGCAGUGGCUUCUUCCUUGCUGAGCAGCCUUUCAGGUUAUGUCGAUAUAGGACUCGUUUUACUGUGUAUAUAGAUACUUUUGUACCUGUUUCCUCCAGCAUCUUCACAAGGUCCUUUGCUGUUGUUCUGGGAUUGAUUUGCACUUUUCGCAACAAAGUACGUUCAUCUCUAGGAAACAGAACGCGUCUCCUUCCUGAGUGGUAUGAUGGCUGCGUGGACCAAUGGUGUUUAUACUUGCAUACUAUUGUUUGUACAGAUGAACGUGGUGCCUUCAGGCGUUUGGAGGUCAUGGCUGAUUUAUUUUGAUUUUCCCAUGAUGUCAAGCAAAGAGGCACUGAGUUUGAAGGUCGGCCUUGAAAUACAUCCACAGGUACACCUCCAUUGCCUCAAAUUAUGUCAAUUAGCCCAUCAGAAGCUUCUAAAGCCAUGACAUCAUUUUCUGGAAUUUUCCAAGCUGUUUAAAGGCCAAGUCAACUUAGUGUAUGUGAGACUUCUGACCCUCUGUCUCUAAACAAUUGUUGGAAAAAUUACUCUGUCAUGCACAAAGUAGAUGUCCUAACCGACUUGCCAAAACUAUAGUUUGUUAACAAGAAAUUUGUGGAGUGGUUGAAAAACAAGUUUUAAUGACUCCAACCUAAGUGUAUGUAAACUUCUGACUUCAACUGUAUGUGUGCCCGUGCAUCUAUCAAUCCAAUGUUAUCAUGAUUUGUUAUCAGGGAUAUUAUACUUUAGUAAUCCACAAUGACCUGGUGAUGUGUAAGUCUAAUAAUUACAUUGUCUUCCAUAUUCCUACAGAUAACUUUGUAACUGGAGAUUCCUUCAAAACGAUUGCCUACAGUUAACGUGUAGGGCACUACAAGGUUGGGUGACCAGGGCCAUCUGGGACUGCCUCCUGGAGGAAUUCAGGUGUGUGAAGGCUACCUGUGUCCUGCGUAACUUCAUGAGGAUGGACAGGAGGACCAGGAGGGGAUCUGCAGCUCGCCCCCGUGUGCCAGAGGAGAAGUCUGCUGCUCUGCAGGAUGUUUCAAGGAUGGGGUCCACAACGCGGCAGGAGAGGUAAUCAGUGUGCAGGAGAUCUUCACCUUCUACUUCUUGGAAGAGGGCGCUGUUCCCUGGCAACACCAUAGACUACACUAUGCACCACCAAAGGCUCUUUUUAGAGCCAUUCACAUUGCAAUAAGAGUAUUCUUCCAUUUACUUAGCUAUGUCAACUGCAGUUAUUCAAUUCCCAGUUUCUCUCCCUUUUGAUUUCUACUUCUCAGGUGAGGGUGCUGUUUAGGUAAGGGUGUGAUGUCUGUACAAAAACAAAACAGGCUAUUUUAAAUCACCCAUAUUGAAAAAAUGUAGAACAAUUAGACACCCUAUAACCCAUACCUCCACACUCAUGUAUCUAUCUGAUUGAUGGAUUGUGUUGUGUAGUAAGCAGGCUCAGGUGUGUAACUGUGGCUCCUUCCACCUUCAAAGAAUAGGCAAGAGGGCCAACCAUGGAGAAUAGUUGUAUCAGCUGUGUCGGUGAACCACUCUUGCAUCUGAACUGGCUACAUAGAGGGCACAGCAUGAUCAGAGAUAUGUUUUGAUGUGAGAGAGGAUGCCAACCCCCAGUCCCAUCAUCGCUACCUCACUGCUUUUACACCUCUCUCGCCACCUCCUCUUUCUUCCUCUGUUUUUAUAAUACACAACAGAUGUGCAUUGGAGUACAGAUUGAACUUGUACUUAUAAUAUUACAAUUCUAAUAUUUAUAAUGCAUGUAUGUAUUUACAACACUUGGAUAAUGAACUUCUUUCAAUAAAG